AAACUCAAAGGAAUUGACGNNCNNNNNNNNAGCAGCGGAGCGUGUGGUUUAAUUCGAUGCNCNNNNNAAAAAACCUUACCAGGGUUUGACAUCUUCUCGCACCGCCUGGAAACAGGCGUACCCGCAAGGGACGGGANGNNAGGUGCUGCAUGGCUGUCGUCAGCUCGUGUCGUGAGAUGUUGGGUUAAGUCCCGCAACGAGCGCAACCCUCAUCGUCGGUUACAAGUGUCCGACGAGACUGCCACGAUCAACGUGGAGGAAGGCGGGGAUGACGUCAAGUCAGCACGGCCCUUACACCCUGGGCGACACACACGCUACAAUGGUCGGGACAAAAGGACGCCAACCCGCGAGGGGGAGCCAAUCNAAUAAACCCGAUCUCAGUUCAGAUUGUAGGCUGCAACCCGCCUGCAUGAAGAAGGAGUUGCUAGUAACCGUGCGUCAGCACAGCACGGUGAAUACGUUCCCGGGUCUUGUACACACCGCCCGUCACACCACGAAAGUCGGCAACACCUGAAGCCGUUGGGCUAACCCGCAAGGGAGGCAAGCGUCGAGGGUGGGGUUGGUGAUUGGNNUNAAUCNNGACUGGGG
rnacentral:rRNA from 1 species